rnacentral:misc_RNA from 1 species
GAUGAAGAGCGUAGCGAAAUGCGAUAAGUAAUGUGAAUUGCAGAAUUCAGUGAAUCAUCGAAUCUUUGAACGCACCUUGCGCUCCUUGGUAUUCCGAGGAGCAUGCCUGUUUGAGUGUCAUUAAAUUCUCAACCUCACCAGUUUUGUAACGAGACAGGUGAAGGCUUGGAUGUGGGGGUUUUGCAGGCUGCCUCAGUGCUGGUCUGCUCUCCUGAAAUGCAUUAGCGAGCUCAUAUUGAGCUUCCGUCUAUUGGUGUGAUAAUUAUCUACGCCGUGGAUUGGACUCAUGCUUGCUUCUAGCCGUCCGCAAGGACAAUUUACUUGACCAAUUUGACCUCAAAUCAGGUAGGACUACCCGCUGAACUUAAGCAUAUCAAUAAGCGGAGGA